UACGUAGGUGGCAAGCGUUGUCCGGAUUUAUUGGGCGUAAAGAGCGUGUAGGCGGCCAGGUAGGUCUGCUGUGAAAACUCGAGGCUCAACCUCGAGACGUCGGCGGAAACCAUCUGGCUAGAGUCCGGAAGAGGAGAGUGGAAUUCCUGGUGUAGCGGUGAAAUGCGCAGAUAUCAGGAAGAAUAUCCGUGGCGAAGGCGGCUCUCUGGUCCGGCACUGACGCUGAGACGCGAAAGCGUGGGGAGCGAACAGG
rnacentral:rRNA from 1 species